UAGGGAAUCUUCCACAAUGGACGAAAGUCUGAUGGAGCAACGCCGCGUGAGCGAUGAAGGCCUUCGGGUCGUAAAGCUCUGUUGUUAGGGAAGAACAAGUACCGGAGUAACUGCCGGUACCUUGACGGUACCUAACCAGAAAGCCACGGCUAACUACGUGCCAGCAGCCGCGGUAAUACGUAGGUGGCAAGCGUUGUCCGGAAUUAUUGGGCGUAAAGCGCGCGCAGGCGGUCCUUUAAGUCUGAUGUGAAAGCCCACGGCUCAACCGUGGAGGGUCAUUGGAAACUGGGGGACUUGAGUACAGAAGAGGAAAGCGGAAUUCCACGUGUAGCGGUGAAAUGCGUAGAGAUGUGGAGGAACACCAGUGGCGAAAGGCGGCUUUCUGGUCUGUAACUGACGCUGAGGCGCGAAAGCGUGGGGAGCAAACAGGAUUAGAUACCCUGGUAGUCCACGCCGUAAACGAUGAGUGCUAAGUGUUAGGGGUUUCCGCCCCUUAGUGCUGCAGCUAACG
rnacentral:rRNA from 1 species